rnacentral:rRNA from 1 species
CCUACGGGGGGCAGCAGUGGGGAAUAUUGCACAAUGGGGGGAACCCUGAUGCAGCGACGCCGCGUGAGUGAAGAAGUAUUUCGGUAUGUAAAGCUCUAUCAGCAGGGAAGAAGAUGACGGUACCUGACUAAGAAGCCCCGGCUAACUACGUGCCAGCAGCCGCGGUAAUAUGUAGGGGGCAAGCGUUAUCCGGAUUUACUGGGUGUAAAGGGAGCGUAGACGGCAGGGCAAGUCUGGAGUGAAAGCCCGGGGCCCAACCCCGGAACUGCAUUUGAAACUGCCAUGCUAGAGUGCUGGAGAGGUAAGCGGAAUUCCUAGUGUAGCGGUGAAAUGCGUAGAUAUUAGGAGGAACACCAGUGGCGAAGGCGGCUUACUGGACAGGAACUGACGGUGAGGCUCGAAAGCGUGGGGAGCAAACAGGAUUAGAUACCCGUGUAGUC